rnacentral:rRNA from 1 species
GAGCAACCGAAGAAGUGCAUCGGAAACUGGGAAACUUGAGUGUAGAAAAGGACAGUGGAACUCCAUGUGUAGCGGUGAAAUGCGUAGAUAUAUGGAAGAACACCAGUGGCGAAGGCGGCUGUCUGGUCUGUAACUGACGCUGAGGCUCGAAAGUAUGGGUAGCAAACAGGAUUAGAUACCCUGGUAGUCCAUACCGUAAACGAUGAAUGCUAAGUGUUGGAGGGUUUCCGCCCUUCAGUGCUGCAGCUAACGCAUUAAGCAUUCCGCCUGGGGAGUACGGCCGCAAGGCUGAAACUCAAAGGAAUUGACGGGGGCCCGCACAAGCGGUGGAGCAUGUGGUUUAAUUUUUUUUUUUCGCGAAGAACCUUACCAGGUCUUGACAUACUAUGAAAAUCUAAGAGAUUAUACGUUCCCUUCGGGGACAUGGAUACAGGUGGUGCAUGGUUGUCGUCAGCUCGUGUCGUGAGAUGUUGGGUUAAGUCUCGCAACGAGCGCAACCCUUAUUAUCAGUUGCCAGCAUUAAGUUGGGCACUCUGGUGAGACUGCCGGUGACAAACCGGAGGAAGGUGGGGAUGACGUCAAAUCAUCAUGCCCCUUAUGACCUGCGCUACACACGUGCUACAAUGGAUGGCAAACG